CUUUUUUUGAUAAAAAAUGUCACCCGGGAAUUUUCCCUCCAACAUUAAAAUAUUACCCGGGAAUUAAGUAAAUUUAUUAAAGAACAAAACAAAAACUGGGUCUUCGGGUUAGGACAAUCCCCAAUUCUCCAUUCUUUCCUGGAUCUUUCAAUACGCAAAAAAAAAAAAAGAACGGCUCACAUCUCACAUCUUCAAUACGUAGAUUUUGCUUAAUUCUUAGUGGAUAUUAUGCUUAGUAGAUUUUGCUGAACUCUUCUCUUCGCUAUUACUCCGGGAACUCGUCUUUGUAGACUGCUUUACUAAGGUGUUUUCUGUGAAAUUGAUGCUUUACUUGGUAUAUUUUGGUGUGAAACUGCUCGGUUGAAGGAAUCAGUAAGGAGCAGUCUCUGAUUCGAGUACAAUAUCUGUGAUUUUCAAGUUUUGCUAUUUUUGAGCUUUGAUUUUCUCCGAGCUUUGCUAUUUCUCCGUUGAAGGAAUCGAUAUUCUCCGUUGAAGGAAUCGACUGCUGUUGAGAAAGUUUUUGUUCUGCAAAAAACUUAGCUGGGUUGAUUCUUGAGGGCUUGGAUCGAUUGGCAACUUGAGGAUAAAAUUGGAAGCACAAUAGAGCGUUGUUCAACAGGAUCGCGGUUCUCUUGUCAUAUAAAUUCAAUCUCGGUGCUUCUGGACUGCGUUUAGCUAGUUUUAUAGUGUUUCUCUUUCUGAAGGUGUUAAUGCUUCAACAUGCAUAACUGCCAAAGUGAGAAGCCUUUGCAUAUGGAAACAACUUGUGGCUCUCUUCUCUCUGAGAUGCAGGAGAGCCAGAUAUCGAAAGAGAUAAGAUGCUUUUUGAACUUCAAAAAGAGUGCCUGGAGGUAUAUUGAAGAAAAGUGAAUCAGGCAAGUUGUUGCCGGGCUCAACUGCAGCAAGCUGUUGCAAGCUCUGAAGCAGAACUUGCAAAGAUAUGUACAACAUUAGGAGAACAAUCAUCAUACUCUAGGCAGAGUGACCGCCUGAAGCUGCUGGUUGAACACUUGACAACUAUCAAUUUAUUUAACUAUUUCUAUAAACCUCAGGUGAUCAUGACUUAAAAGAUGGUGGGAACGAAAUUGAUGAAUUAGACCUGAGCUAAGAGCUCGAUCACAUUGGCUUCAUGUCACACUAGCUGUUGGAAAAACUUGUGUAUGUGUUGAUUGAGAUCGAUCACAUUUGACCGAGUAUACGUAGUUUCAAACAUCUUUUAUUUUUGAACAUUCAAAACUUGUGUUGUGUUUUGAAUUUUUUGAAUGGUCAAAAAAUAUUUGGUUUCUUAUUGGUUGACAUUUUGGGAAUUAAUAGUUAUUGGUACUCUUGAUGAUUAAUAUACAUGUACAUUUUUGUGUUA